rnacentral:lncRNA from 1 species
GGGGGUUCAGCUCCUCCCGGACCACUCUGCUGCGGAACAGCCGCCCCCCCGCCCUCACUGCAGCGUAGGGGUCGGAGCGGCCCUUCAUCAGCCCCCCCAGGAAGUUGUCCUUGGCUAUCAGAUCCUCCGCUUCCAGGAGGUGGAUGCGCAGCACAGCCUCAGUCCCAAACUGGGGGUCUGGGCUGGCUUUGCUGGGUCUACGUGCACUGCUGGCUCCAGGGGGGGUCUCCAACUGCCCGGGGGGG